rnacentral:rRNA from 1 species
GAUGAACGCUGGCGGCGUGCCUAAUACAUGCCAGUCGAGCGAACAGACGAGGAGCUUGCUCCUCUGACGUUAGCGGCGGACGGGUGAGUAACACGUGGAUAACCUACCUAUAAGACUGGGAUAACUUCGGGAAACCGGUGCUAAUACCGGAUAAUAUAUUGUACCGCAUGGUUCAAUAGUGAAUGACGGUUUUGCUGUCACUUAUAGAUGGAUCCGCGCCGCAUUAGCUAGUUGGUAAGGUAACGGCUUACCAAGGCAACGAUGCGUAGCCGACCUGAGAGGGUGAUCGGCCACACUGGAACUGAGACACGGUCCAGACUCCUACGGGAGGCAGCAGUAGGGAAUCUUCCGCAAUGGGCGAAAGCCUGACGGAGCAACGCCGCGUGAGUGAUGAAGGUCUUCGGAUCGUAAAACUCUGUUAUUAGGGAAGAACAAAUGUGUAAGUAACUAUGCACGUCUUGACGGUACCUAAUCAGAAAGCCACGGCUAACUACGUG